GAUGAACGCUGGCGGCGUGCCUAAUACAUGCAAGUCGAGCGAACAGACGAGAGUGCUUGCACUCUCUGACGUUAGCGGCGGACGGGUGAGUAACACGUGGGUAACCUACCUAUAAGACUGGGAUAACUUCGGGAAACCGGAGCUAAUACCGGAUAAUAUUUAGCUUCGCAUGAAGCAAUAGUGAAAGACGGUUCUGCUGUCACUUAUAGAUGGACCCGCGGUGUAUUAGCUAGUUGGUGAGGUAACGGCUCACCAAGGCAACGAUACAUAGCCGACCUGAGAGGGUGAACGGCCACACUGGGACUGAGACACGGACCAGACUCCUACGGGAGGCAGCAGUAGGGAAUCUUCCGCAAUGGACGAAAGUCUGACGGAGCAAUGCCGCGUGAGUGAAGAAGGUUUUCGGAUCGUAAAACUCUGUUGUAAGGGAAGAACAAGUACGUUAGUAACUGAACGUACCUUGACGGUACCUUACCAGAAAGCCACGGCUAACUACGUG
rnacentral:rRNA from 1 species